rnacentral:rRNA from 1 species
UACGUAGGGUGCAAGCGUUAAUCGGAAUUACUGGGCGUAAAGCGUGCGCAGGCGGUUUUGUAAGCCAGAUGUGAAAUCCCCGGGCUCAACCUGGGAAUGGCAUUUGGGACUGCAAGGCUAGAGUAUGCCGGAGGGGACUAGAAUUCCUGGUGUAGCAGUGAAAUGCGUAGAUAUCAGGAGGAAUACCGAUGGCGAAGGCAGGUCCCUGGGCCAAUACUGACGCUCAUGCACGAAAGCGUGGGGAGCAAACAGG